AUGCAACGACAUCAACCACGUCCACGCCUAGCACAGCAGCCGACAACCAGGCCACCCCGUCCUGACCAACCUGGCAGUUCUACGUGGCACCCGCAGCACUAUGGUCCCACGUCGAGCUUCGUGUUUUCUCCACAGCCACAGCAACACGGUCCCUCGUCGAGCUUCGUGUUUUCUCCACAGCCACAGCAGCACGGUCCCUCGUCCAGUUUCGUGUUUCAGCCAGAGCAGACGUCACACCCAGCAGGUAUGUGUCUUCAUAUUUAUUGUUUUCAAUAUUAA
rnacentral:rRNA from 1 species